AUUGAACGCUGGCGGCAGGCCUAACACAUGCAAGUCGAACGAGUGGCGGACGGGUGAGUAAUGUCUGGGAAACUGCCCGAUGGAGGGGGAUAACUACUGGAACCGGUAGCUACUACCGCAUACCAUCGGAUGUGCCCAGAUGGGCUUAGAUAUUAGGGGGGGUAACGGCUCACAUAGGCGACGAUCCCUAGCUGGUCUGAGAGGAUGACCGUCCCAACUGGAACUUGGACACGGUCCAGACUCCUACGGGAGGUAGCAGUGGGGAAUAUUGCACAAUGGGCGCAAGCCUGAUGCAGCCAUGCCGCGUGUAUGAAGAAGGCUUUCGGGUUGUAAAGUACUUUCGGCGAGGAGGCGUUACUCGCAGAAGAAGCACCGGCUAACUCCGUGCCAGCAGCCGCGGUAAUUC
rnacentral:rRNA from 1 species